rnacentral:lncRNA from 1 species
GAAAGCCCAGGACUCCACACCUGUGCCAGGUGCAGCAGCCACGGAGCUGCAGGAGGCGGGCAGAAAGGCACAGCCGCCUCCAUCUGGAAUUCCAGAUGGAGGAGGGCGUCUCCCACUUCCCAGCGCCACCCCUGCCCUGGCCAUGUCCCUCCAGGGCCACCCGGCAUGGUGGACAGCAUGACCCCCGUGACGCUGGGGACGUGGGGAGGACUCGGGGUCUUGUGUGUGAACCGAGUGCAGAGCAGCAUGCAGGGUGCGAGGGUGAGUGUGAGCGUGGGGGUGUGAUGUG